AGAAAGAAAAAAAAAAAAAAAAAAAGAAAAAGGAAAAGAAAAGAAGAAAUUGAAAGAAACAGAAAAACAUUUUCUUCUCCUUCGACCCAUUUCAGUUUUCUUUUCUCAAACAACCCACCCAUGAAUUUCUAACUCUAAAAUGGAUUAUUCUUGCUCAAUCAAACUCAUAUUCAUAAAAAUUCAUUUCUCAACCAAAUCACCCAAUAACCCAUUUUUGGUAAUUCAAUUCCAUCAAUUCAUUUGGGCAGAAAUUGAAACUCAACCAUGGCUAUAAAUAGCCAUGUUCAUCUCCUCAAACCAUUCACUCAAACCAUUUGAGUUUUCGUCGGAAAACCGCCACCCAAACCACCCUCAAAUUCCUCUGUUUUCACAACUUUCUCUCUCCUCUGUUUUCGUUCAACCACCGCAGCACCACCACCCACCGCCACCGUCGCCAUAACCGCUACCCCCUGAUUCUGCGCGAAACAACAACCACCGCACCGUCAACCAGAACCUCUCCCUCCUCUCUCCCAGUUUCCCCCUCUCUGUCGUGUCUCCCUCCUCGUCGCAUCGUUGACCCGCGCGCACCGCCCAGCACCACCGAGCCCGCGCCGUCCCGCCGUACCACCCCCUUAUUUUCUGCCCCGCCUCGCCGGAGCUUCGUUCGUUCUCCCUUGCUCUCUGGUUCACGAUAUUCGGUUGAAGCAGAGAUUAAAACGGAAGAAAUAUUACAAGCAUUCCCUACGAUCAAGGUUGUUAAGCAGGAUUCCAGGUAUGCAUAUGAAGAUGGGAUGACGUAGCAGUGAGGAUUAAAUUACGUUAAUUCACGCGACUAUGACGGUUAUGUAAUCCAAGUUUAUGAUCACUAGAUUUCGUAACAUUAGUUAUGCUUAAGCUAUCUAUAUAUAUUUCUAG